rnacentral:misc_RNA from 1 species
CUUCUUCUUCUUCUUCCUCUUCCUCUUCUACCCCGCCCUUGUUCUUUUCUUUUUCUUUAAAUAUCUCAGACCAAACAUAUACAAAGUUGGUGGGAAGGGGAAUCAUUAUCUUAUCAAACAAGUUGAUGAAUAAUCUUGAUGUUGAUGUUUGGUUACUUUGAUGAACUCUAGUCUGGUUCCCAUUUACCCUGAUCGAUGGCUAGCUAGCUGCAUAUCAAUAUCAAUUAUCAUUUUCACCUAGCUUGAACUCGAACAUUGCCUCACCGAACAAGCAACCACCUGCGCCCACUGCCUUAGCCUCGUCUUCAUCGUCUGUGGAUUGUCACCUGGACCGAAGAUGGCAUGGGGGCUGCCCAGUGGAGACGGCGAAUCACAGUCAGACGCCGUGGACAAAGACGACGUCGUCGUUGCCGUGACUGACUUGGAAAUGGUGUCAUAAUAGUGCUUGUUGACAGCAUGAUAAAGUCCCAGAGCGGGCAAAGUAUCAGAUAACCGUUGAUCCACCUCGGGUGAGUCAAACCCGAAACCUAACUCGAUGCAACCCUUAAGCUCAUCAAGAUCUUCAUCUGUAACGCUCUUGCUUCUCCGAUUCUUGCAGUUUCCUUUCCGCCUAAGCCAAGCCUCAUCCCGGUAAAUAUCCGGUGACCAAGAAUG